GUCCACCAUCACCACCAGCCAUCACCAGCACCAGCACCAGCACCACCGGCCCCGGAAUCACCAGCACCAGCCUCCAUCCCCUGCCAGCUUUGGCAGCACCACCACCAGCACCGCCGGCCUCAGGACCAAGCCCACCACCAGCGGGCGUUGACGGAGGCGGGUGUGCGGCUCUGGCGCAGCUGAGCCGUCGACCGCCGGAGCCAAUCCGGCAGUCCGGCAUUUCAGCUGCCGCACAGUCGCCCGUCACAGAACCAGA